UACGAAGGGGGCUAGCGUUGCUCGGAAUUACUGGGCGUAAAGGGCGCGUAGGCGGGUCGUUAAGUUAGAGGUGAAAGCCCAGGGCUCAACCCUGGAAUUGCCUUUAAUACUGGUGACCUAGAGUAUGACAGAGGUGUGUGGAACUCCGAGUGUAGAGGUGAAAUUCGUAGAUAUUGGGAAGAACACCGAUGGCGAAGGCAGCCAUCUGGACCGACACUGACGCUGAGGCGCGAAAGCGUGGGGAGCAAACAGG
rnacentral:rRNA from 1 species